rnacentral:misc_RNA from 1 species
GCCCAUGAUGGUGUAGUUGUUGUAGGAGGAGUAGGUAGCUGAGUUGACAAGGGAAGUGAGAAGAGAGUUAAUGUUGGACUCGUAAGGUGAGUCUGGCGCGUAUUUCUGCUGAGUGCAGCCUCCGAAGACGAAGGAGUCUGUGGAAGAAGGUGAAGCAAUGGGAAGAGAGAUGAGAAAAAUGAAGAUUAAGAGAAGAUCAGAAGUUGCUCUUGCCAUUUUUCUUUGUGAAGUGAGAGAGAGAGAGAGAG